AGAAAAUAAAUAAAAAAAUGAAACAAGGAAAAGGCAUCUAAAAGGAUAAAGGAAAAGAAACCCCUAAAAUCCCAUUUCAUCCUUAAUCACUUUGCAUUUGAUAUAUUUCUCUCUUGCUGCCGUGAAGUAGCCGCCAUGAGGGUUUGAAGGCUGAACUGUAAUUUCUGAUGAUUCCUGUGCACAUACUGGGGCUGCUGUGGAGAUCUUUUUGUACAUUCCUUGCACUGGGUGUGAUUCUUCCUCUUGCUUCAUUUUGCUGGGUUCCGCCAUGAAGGAAAUCGCAAAGCUUUUAGCAGACUCCUUUCACGUUUUUUUAUGAUUCCUGUGUGCACACCUUCUCUCGCUGCGAUGUUUGAACUUCUUCAAACUGAGGGUUUCGGAUGAAUUUUUCUGAAACCAGAACUCCAUUGUUGGCUGCUUCAGAUACCAAAAGACAGACACAGACAAGGACAAAGCGGCAACACAAAGGCAAUCAUCGAGGCUACUCCAACUGUACCAGUCAUUCAGGAAAUCUCAAACAUUUCAUUCUAAUCAGUCUCUCAAUGGAUCAAACAUUGGAUAAAGAUUCUUCUGCACAGAAGAUACCAUCAUCCACGCCCCCAGAAGCGACAUCAUGCAGGAAGAAAAAAUCCCAGGAUGCCUCAUUUGUUGCAGAUAUGACGGAUCACAUUGAUGAAUUUAUCCAUGCUUCCAUGGAUGAGCAUAUAACAUGUUUCCAAAAAACUAUGAAAAAGGAAUAGAUGCUUGUACAUAGCUGCCACCAAUCUUACAUUUUGCAUGAGGCCCUAUUGUUAGAUAUGUUUGGAAUGUCCAAGGCUGUUAAAGAGAAAGGUGCUAGCUCCGAGCCAGUGGAGAGUGGCUCACCAGUUCAAUCAAGUACUUCAUGAUAACCACUCGUACAAAAAUUUGCAGUAUUAAUUUUAUCUACAAGACAGGCAUUUAGACCGUGCUGAAGGCAAAAUAGACAUAAAUGGAUUCGUAUAGGAGAUUUGAGUCAAUUUAAUAUUAAAAGCAGAUUUUAACAUUUUUUAUGAUCUUUUAACUUGUUUUAUUAGCUCACUAUACAUAUGUCACACGUGAAUAGUGUUGCCUAUUUUCUUAGACUUUUUUGCCAUGAAAAUAGUUCUUUCUUUCUUAUUA